rnacentral:ncRNA from 1 species
UUAAAAAUUGUAGUAUAAAAUAUGAGAUUAAAAAAUAAAUUUAAUUAUAGUUUUAUAAUUAAUUUAAAAAUUUUUGUAUAUAUAAUUUUAUGAGAAUAAUGUUUAAAAUAAAUUAAUUAGUAUAUAGAUUUAAUAAAUUUAAAUAAGUUUAAAAUUAGAAAUUUUUAUAAUUUAGAUUAAUAUUUGUGCCAGCAAUCGUGGUUAGACAAAUUAGGUAAAUUAAUUGAAAAAAAAAAUUAAAUAAAAUGGAAUAUGGAGUUGUAUAGAGAAAAAUAAUUUUAAUAGGUGAAAUUAGUAAAAUUAUUAAAUAAUAUAAAAUGAAAAAUUGAAUUUUAGAAAAUUUUUUAUUAAAACUAGGAUUAGAUACCCUAUUAUAUGAUUUAAAAGAUAAUUUUGAGGAUUAAAUGAUAAAUCAUUAGAUUUAAAUAAUUUGGCGGUAUUUUAAUUUUAUUAGAGGAACUUGUUUUUUAAUUGAUAAUCCACAAUAAGAGGGACUUUAAUUAAUACUUUUAUAUUGUUGUUUGAAGGAUAAUUUUAGAAAAUUUAUUUAAAAAAAUUUUAUUAGUUAGUAAUUCAGAUCGAAAUGAAGUGUAUAUUAAAGUUUAAAUGAGUUACAAUAAAUUUUAUUUAGGAUGGAUUUAUAAUUUAAAAAUUAUAAUUAAGGUGGGAUUUAAAGUAAAAUAAAAUAAUUAUUUUAUUUGAUUAAAAUUUUAAAAUAUGUCCAAAUUGCCCGUCAUUCCCUUUGAAAAAAGGGGUAAGUCGUACCAAAGUAAAAGUACUGGAAAGUGUUUUUAGAAGAAAA